UCCUUGUAAUUUUGGUUUAAGUUUUGAUCUCCAAGAUUUUAACAAUACAAUCAACUAUUCUAUAUGGACAAAUACAUGUACAACGCCGAGUUCAGAGAAGUCCCGCUUCAAUGAAAUCUGGUAGAAGUCCUAAGCUACACCACGAUGUAGUGUGUUCUGGUUGUAAAGAUUUGAACAAGACGAGUUCAGCGAUAGUUCCAAAAGGUUCUUUGCAGCAAUCUCGUAAACAUGCAAAACCACCAGACGAUGCACUGUGUGCUGCAUGCAAGAUAAUGAACGGGAGGAAAUCACCAAGAUGUGAUCUUUUAUGUUUAAGAGGUGAUAGUCUUAUUUAAUUUCUUCAAUCUGUAGCUUGUGAACUCAUGUGUAUUUAAUGCUGUUCGUAAAUACGGUAUCAUUACAUACGAGCCCUAAAAUUCCUUUGUGCAUUUGAAGUUUUCAGAAUCUUUCAUACUUGUUAUACGUAUACUACACAUGCCUGCAAAUAAAA